AAUUAUUGUCAAGGGGGGCAACCCUGCUCCAGCCAUCCCGCGGGUGCGAUGAAGGCCUUCGGGCUGUAAAGAACUUCUUGCAGGCAAGAAAACGCCCUGGCUAAUACCUAGAGCUUCUCACGGUCGCUACAGUUGACACACGCGCUAACUACGUGCUAGCAGCCGCGGGAAUACGUAGGGUGCAAACGUUAAUCGGAAUUACUGGGCGUAAAGCGUGCGCAGGCGGUUCGGCAAGAAGGAUGUGAAAUCCCAGGGCUUAACCUUGGAACUGCAUGCUUAACUGCCGGGCUAGAGUAUGUCAGAGGGGGGUAGAAUUCCGCGUGUAGCAGUGAAAAGCGUAGAGAUGCGGAGGAAUACCGAUGGCGAAGACAGCCCCCUGGGAUAAUACUGACGCUCAUGCACGAAAACGUGGGGAGCAAAC
rnacentral:rRNA from 1 species